rnacentral:rRNA from 1 species
GACGAACGCUGGCGGCGUGCCUAAUACAUGCAAGUAGGACGCAGUUGCGAACGGGUGAGUAACGCGUAGGUAACUACCUAUUAGAGGGGGAUAACUAUUGGAAACGAUAGCUAAUACCGCAUACUAGUAGAUGGACCUGCGUUGUAUUAGCUAGUAGGUAGGGUAAUGGCCUACCUAGGCAACGAUACAUAACCGACCCGAGAGGGGUAUCGGCCACACUGGGACUUGGAAAACGCCCAGACUCCUACGGGAGGCAGCAGUAGGGAAUCUUUGGCAAUGGGGGGAACCCUUAACGAGCAACGGCGCGGUAGUGAAGAAGGGUUUCGGAUCGUAAAGCUCUGUUGUUAAGGAAGCGGUACUUAACCAGAAAGGGACGGCUAACUACGUGCCAGCAGCCGCGGUAAUUC